CUUUAAAAAAUUCUGAAAGCACAAGGUAUUCAAAACAUUUUUAGAUUUAAUAAAGCACUACGAAGCAUAUAUUUUCAGACAGCUUAAUCCAGCUAACAGUAAACGACAAACAACAAACAGCAAACAUCAAACUCCAGCAUUUCGCAACUUGGCCCAGACAAUUACGACUGCAAAAUAAAUUGCAAAAGUGUUUUGAAAAACAAAUCAACGACGUUUCAAUAGCAUGUCAUAAAGCAUUUGCUUGUUCUAUUUGGUUUUGUUGUUUUCUUUUUCCGAUUUUUUGCAUUUUUUCUAUUUUUCCAAUGUUUUCUUUAUUUUUUCGUAUAGAUUGACAAUGUGAAGGACGCUGACGACUGUCAUCAAAAUGCAAACGAAGCCGACGGAACGCUUUUUGUAUUGAGCCACCAAUUCUAUGCAGUCGAAAAGUUCUCCAGCCCAAAAUUGACAAUGGCCAGUGAGCAUUUCAAACAACAACGGCACAAACGACAACAAAAAUAUUUCUGAUGUCUGGCCAUCAGUUACAGAGGACAGAGAGGACAGUGAGACGCCGAUCUAAAAUUGAUAUUGUAUAAUGAGAUAAGAACGAGGUAUGAAUCACAAGCUGAAAAUGUUUGGAGAAGACGAAUGGGAAGAAGCGAAUAUGAGAGAGGAGAGAGCCAAUCGAAAAUGAGGGACGGGGAAUGAGACAGAGAGAGAGACAUGCCUAGAGAGAUAUAGUGAGAGAGAGAGACAGAGUAAAAGACUGAAAGUUAAAGAGAGAAUGAAAGAGAGGGGGAGAUUCCCAAAUCUUAAGAGAUAAUUGACGAAAAGUCAAAAAUUUAAAGGAGGUUAAGUUCCAUGAAUGUGAACUAUGAUGGGUAAAGUUGACAAAAAAAAAAAAGAAAUAAACAUCUAAUAUAAAUUCAAGUCAAUAAGCAUAAUCUUACACAUCAAAAUCAUGUCAUCAUGUCAAAAUUUUGUCAUUCAACAUGAAGUUUAUCAGACAAAAAUCUCGCUUGUUUUAUAUCAUCUCGGAUUACCCCCAAAUAACAACGGAAUGUGUUACCAUUUAUAUAAAUGACUCUUAAGCUACACUCUAACCAGCCGAAUGUUAUGAUCUAAAAAAAUAUAAUAAGAAAACAUAAAA